GCUCUCAAAACCAUUGGGUUCAUCAUUGCCUAAAUUCCAGAGUCAUUUUGCACUGAUACAGCUGGGGAACAUACCAGUGCAUAUAGUGGUCCCAUGAUUUCCAAGUUUAAGGAUCAUAAUGAUUUCUACUCGUAUGUUAAUAUCAAAGGAAUGGUCUUCAAUGGAGAUUGUGUAUACUGGAAACCAAUAAGAACAAUUGAGACAGUGACCUCCUUCUAGCAUCAAUAAUUGUUUGGGAACUGUACUCAUCUUUAUCAAAUUUGGAC